UUUUAGUGGCGCAGCUAACGCGAUAAGUUGACCGCCUGGGGAGUACGGACGCAAGUUUAAAACUCAAAUGAAUUGACGGGGGCCCGCACAAGCGGUGGAGCAUGUGGUUUAAUUCGAUGCAACGCGAAGAACCUUACCAAUUCUUGACAUCCACGGAAUCCUUCAGAGAUGAGGGAGUGCCUUCGGGAACCGUGAGACAGGUGCUGCAUGGCUGUCGUCAGCCCGUGUUGUGAAAUGUUGGGUUAAGUCCCGUAACGAGCGCAACCCCUAUCCUUAGUUGCCAUCAUUUAGUUGGGGACUCUAAGGAGACUGCCGGUGACAAACCGGAGGAAGGUGGGGACGACCUCAAGUCAUCAUGGCCCUUACGGAUUGGGCUACACACGUGCUACAAUGGGCAGUACAGAGGGUUGCGAACUUGCGAGAGUAAGCGAAUCCCUUAAAGCUGUUCGUAGUCCGGAUUGGAGUCUGCAACUCGACUCCAUGAAGUCGGAAUCGCUAGUAAUCGCAAAUCAGAAUGUUGCGGUGAAUACGUUCCCGGGCCUUGUACACACCGCCCGUCACACCAUGGGAGUGGGUUGCACCAGAAGUAGCUAGC
rnacentral:rRNA from 1 species